rnacentral:rRNA from 1 species
ACGGAAGGCAGCAGUGAGGAAUAUUGGUCAAUGGGCGUAAGCCUGAACCAGCCAAGUAGCGUGAGGGAUGACUGCCCUACGGGUUGUAAACCUCUUUUGUUUGGGAAUAAAGUAGACUACGUGUAGUCUUUUGCAUGUACCUUUCGAAUAAGCAUCGGCUAAUUCCGUGCCAGCAGCCGCGGUAAUACGGAAGAUGCGAGCGUUAUCCGGAUUUAUUGGGUUUAAAGGGAGCGUAGGCGGCCUGUUAAGUCUGCGGUCAAAUGUCAGGGCCCAACCUUGGCAUGCCGUGGAUACUGGCGGGCUUGAGUGCACACAAGGAAGGUGGAAUUCGUCGUGUAGCGGUGAAAUGCUUAGAUAUGACGAAGAACUCCGAUUGCGAAGGCAGCCUUCUGGAGUGCGAUUGACGCUGAGGCUCGAAAGCGCGGGUAUCAAACAGGAUUAGAUACCCUGGUA